CUACGGGAGGCAGCAGUCGAGAAUCUUCCGCAAUGGACGAAAGUCUGACGGAGCGACGCCGCGUGCGGGAUGAAGGCCUUCGGGUUGUAAACCGCUGUCAGUGGGGAGGAAAUGCAUCAGGGUUCUCCCUGGUGUUUGACCGAUCCGCAGAGGAAGCGCAGGCUAAGUUCGUGCCAGCAGCCGCGGUAACACGAACUGCGCGAACGUUAUUCGGAAUCACUGGGCUUAAAGAGUUCGUAGGCGGCCUUUCAAGUCUGGUGUGAAAUCCCUCGGCUCAACCGAGGAAUUGCGCCUGAUACUGUUGGGCUUGAGGGGGAUAGGGGUGAGCGGAACUGAUGGUGGAGCGGUGAAAUGCGUUGAUAUCAUCAGGAACACCGGUGGCGAAGGCGGCUCACUGGAUCUCUUCUGACGCUGAGGAACGAAAGCUAGGGGAGCGAACGGGAUUAGAUACCCGAGUAGUC
rnacentral:rRNA from 1 species